UGAGGAAUUUUCCGCAAUGGUCGCAAGACUGACGGAGCAACGCCGCGUGCAGGAGGACGCUUUUCGGAGUGUAAACUGCUUUUCUGUGGGACGAGGAAGGACGGUACCACAGGAAGAAGCCCCGGCUAACUACGUGCCAGCAGCCGCGGUAAUACGUAGGGGGCGAGCGUUGUCCGGAGUUACUGGGCGUAAAGGGCACGCAGGCGGUGCGGCGCGUUUCGCGUGACAGCGGAGGGCUUACCUCUCCGAGGAUGCGAAAGACGGCGGCACUUGAGGGCCAGAGAGGGACACGGAAUUCCGGGUGGAGUGGUGAAAUGCGUAGAGAUCCGGAGGAACACCGAAGGCGAAGGCAGUGUCCUGGCUGGUGACUGACGCUGAGGUGCGAAAGCUAGGGGAGCGAACGGGAUUAGAUACCCCGGUAGUCCUAGCCGUAAACGAUGACCACCAGGUGUGGGAGGUAUCGACCCCUUCCGUGCCGGAGUUAACACACUAAGUGGUCCGCCUGGGGAGUACGGUCGCAAGAUUA
rnacentral:rRNA from 1 species